rnacentral:rRNA from 1 species
CACGUAGUUAGCCGUGGCUUAUUCGUCAGGUACCGUCUUCUACUCUUCCCUGACAAAAGAAGUUUACAACCCGAAAGCCUUCUUCCUUCACGCGGCGUUGCUGGGUCAGGCUUGCGCCCAUUGCCCAAUAUUCCCCACUGCUGCCUCCCGUAGGAGUCUGGGCCGUAUCUCAGUCCCAAUGUGGCCGGCCAACCUCUCAGUCCGGCUACUGAUCGUCGCCUUGGUAGGCCGUUACCCUACCAACUAGCUAAUCAGACGCGAGGCCAUCUCUCAGCGAUAAAUCUUUGAUGUAAAUGUCAUGCGACACCUACAUGUUAUGCGGUAUUAGCAGUCGUUUCCAACUGUUGUCCCCCUCUGAAAGGCAGGUUCCUCACGCGUUACUCACCCGUCCGCCACUAAGUAACCCAAUCCGUUGACCGAAAUCUCCUUCAUGGGCACCCCGUUCGACUUGCAUGUGUUAAGCACGCCGCCAGCGUUCGUCCUGAGCCAGGAUCAAACUCU